rnacentral:rRNA from 1 species
UACGUAGGGUGCGAGCGUUGUCCGGAAUUAUUGGGCGUAAAGAGCUCGUAGGCGGUCUGUCGCGUCGGCUGUGAAAACUCGGGGCUCAACCCCGAGCCUGCAGUCGAUACGGGCAGACUAGAGUGCUGUAGGGGAGACUGGAAUUCCUGGUGUAGCGGUGAAAUGCGCAGAUAUCAGGAGGAACACCGGUGGCGAAGGCGGGUCUCUGGGCAGUAACUGACGCUGAGGAGCGAAAGCGUGGGGAGCAAACAGG